UAUUACAAGGGCUUUUGAUUUGGAGGAUAGAGUUGGGGAACUGUUUGGUUGGUUGGUUAUAGAAGGUGAUUCACUUAUGUGAUAAACUCGUGUAAUAAAAUUUUUAGACCACUUUGGCAACUCAGACUGUUAUGGUCACAGGUUACGGAGUUUAUUGUUGUAUGCUCGGUGAGUUUCAACUAUGUCUAUAGGGAAGCUAAUGACGUUGUCUAUAGAGAAGCCAAUGAGGUUGUAGAUAACUCGGCGAAGAGGGGUGUAUCUAUGGACUCGUUAAUUGUUUCUUCUUAUUUAUUGUAAUUUUGCGAUGUAACUACCUUUUGAUCUAAUAAAAUCAAGCACA
rnacentral:lncRNA from 1 species